AUUGAACGCUGGCGGCAGGCCUAACACAUGCAAGUCGAGCGGAUGAAGGGAGCUUGCUCCUGGAUUCAGCGGCGGACGGGUGAGUAAUGCCUAGGAAUCUGCCUGGUAGUGGGGGAUAACGUCCGGAAACGGGCGCUAAUACCGCAUACGUCCUGAGGGAGAAAGUGGGGGAUCUUCGGACCGCACGCUAUCAGAGGAGCCUAGGUCGGAUUAGCUAGUUGGUGGGGUAAAGGCCUACCAAGGCGACGAUCCGUAACUGGUCUGAGAGGAUGAUCAGUCACACUGGAACUGAGACACGGUCCAGACUCCUACGGGAGGCAGCAGUGGGGAAUAUUGGACAAUGGGCGAAAGCCUGACCCAGCCAUGCCGCGUGUGUGAAGAAGGUCUUCGGAUUGUAAAGCACUUUAAGUUGGGAGGAAGGGCAGUAAGUUAAUACCUUGCUGUUUUGACGUUACCAACAGAAUAAGCACCGGCUAACUUCGUG
rnacentral:rRNA from 1 species